UACGUAGGGUGCAGGCGUUAAUCGGAAUUUCUGGGCGUAAAGCGUGCGCAGGCGGUUUGCUAAGACAGGUGUGAAAUCCCCGGGCUUAACCUGGGAACUGCGCUUGUUACUGGCAGGCUUGAGUGUGGCAGAGGGGGGUGGAAUUCCACGUGUAGCAGUGAAAUGCGUAGAUAUCGUAAGGAAGACCAGUGGCGAAGGCGAAUCUCUGGACAGUUACUGACACUGAGGCACGAAGGCCAGGGGAGCAAACGGG
rnacentral:rRNA from 1 species